rnacentral:sRNA from 1 species
GAAAAAAAGCCGAGGAUAUUCUCUUCACAGUGAAGAUGAAGUACAUCCAAUUGCAGAGGUAUUACUGCGACAAUGCGUCUUGUGAUGCAAACGACGCUUCCUCACCUGCAAAGACUUCCGGCGAUCUUUUUGGACCAUCGAGUACUCAGAAGCGACAAAGACAUAUAACUACAGGUCAUUUUUCAACACACCGCUACAAUAUAACGUUAAAACUAGUAUCCAUCUUCAAAAUUUCUUAUUUUCGAUGCUUCCAACUGUAUCCCGUUGCCAAAAAGUUGUCCGCCAGAUCAAAUAUUCCAUCUAGUUACAG